UACAGAGGUCCCAAGCGUUGUUCGGAUUCACUGGGCGUAAAGGGUGCGUAGGUGGUGAGGUAAGUCGGAUGUGAAAGCUCGGAGCUCAACUCCGAAAUGGCAUUGGAAACUACCUUGCUCGAGGGUUGGAGGGGGGACUGGAAUACUUGGUGUAGCAGUGAAAUGCGUAGAUAUCAAGUGGAACACCAGUGGCGAAGGCGCGUCCCUGGACAACUCCUGACACUGAGGCACGAAAGCUAGGGGAGCAAACAGG
rnacentral:rRNA from 1 species